GACGAACGCUGGCGGCGCGCUUAACACAUGCAAGUCGAGCGAAGCGGCGGACGGGUGAGUAACACGUGAGUAACCUGCCUUAGACAUUGGGAUAGCCUCGGGAAACCGGGAUUAAUACCAAAUGGUCUAAGAUGGACUCGCGUCCCAUUAGCUAGUUGGUGGGUAACGGCCCACCAAGGCGACGAUGGGUAGCCGGCCGGGGAGGGUGAAGGGGGACAUGGGAACUGAGAAGCGGUCCAAACUCUACGGGAGGGAGCAGUGGGGAAUAUUGCACAAUGGAGGGAGCGCUGAUGCAGGGACGGCGGGUGAACGAAGAAGGCUUUCGAGUGGGAAAGUUCUUUUAUAUGGGAAGCGGUACCAUAAGAAAAAGCCCCGGCUAACUACGUGCCAGCCGCCGCGGUAAUAC
rnacentral:rRNA from 1 species